CUACAGUCGUGUGGAGCCUCGGGACUCCCAGGGCCGUGGCCGCGACCCGCGAUGGCGCGGCUGGGCGCGCUCGUCUGCUGCCUGCUGGCUGCUUGGCACUGCCGCCCCGGCCUCGGACUGCCUCUGGCUCCCGCUGGCGGCCCGAGUCCCAGUCCGGCGGUGGGACAGUUUUGGCACGUGACUGACUUACACUUAGACCCUACUUACCACAUCACAGAUGACCACACGAAAGUGUGCACUUCCUCGAAAGGUGCAAAUGCCUCCAAUCCUGGCCCUUUUGGAGAUGUUCUAUGUGAUUCUCCUUAUCACCUCAUUUUGUCAGCAUUUGAUUUUAUUAAAAAUUCAGGACAGGAAGCAUCUUUUAUGAUAUGGACAGGGGAUAGCCCACCUCAUGUUCCAGUGCGUGAACUCUCAACAGACACGGUCAUAAAUGUGAUUGCUAAUAUGACAACCACAGUCCAGAGUCUCUUUCCAAAUCUCCAGGUUUUCCCUGCACUGGGUAAUCAUGACUAUUGGCCACAGGAUCAACUGCCUGUAUUCACCAGCAAGGUGUACAAUGCAGUAGCAAGCCUCUGGAAGCCAUGGCUGGAUGAAGAAGCUAUUAGUACUCUAAGGAAAGGUGGCUUUUAUUCACAGAAAGUUUCAACUAAUCUGAACUUUAGGAUCAUCAGUCUCAACACAAACUUAUACUAUGGCCCAAAUAUCGUGACCCUAAAUAAGACUGACCCAGCAAAUCAGUUUGAAUGGCUAGAAAAUACACUGAACAUCUCUCAGCAAAAUAAGGAGAAGGUGUACAUCAUAGCUCAUGUUCCAGUGGGGUACCUGCCUUAUUCAAGGAGCAUCACGGCAAUGAGAGAAUACUAUAAUGAGAAAUUGAUAGAUAUUUUUAGAAAAUACAGUAACAUCAUUGCAGGACAAUUUUAUGGACACACUCACAGAGAUAGUAUUAUGGUUCUUUCAGAUAAAAAAGGAAAUCCGAUAAAUUCUUUGUUUGUGGCUCCUGCUGUUACUCCAGUGAAGAGUGUUUUAGAAAAACAGACCAACAAUCCUGGUGUCAGACUAUUUCAAUAUGAUCCUCAUGAUUAUAAAUUACUGGUUUCCAUCAUAGCCAUGGGAAAGAAGUGGCCUGGCCAGGCAGUUCGUCCAUGGAGAGGAUGAGAGGCACAUUGGGCAGAAUAAUCCCAGGUAAUCUGCCCCCAGCAAUAGCAACCUGGAAAAAGACCCCUAAGGCUGGACAGUUCCUACAUGUGGGCUCAGACCCUGAUCAAACAGAGCUCCAAGCAGUUCUUUGCAUUCCUCUGGACCCAGCCCCGUUCCUCAGCUCCUUGGUGAGGUUUCUGCUCCAGGCAGACAGAUUUCCCAGGAAGUGACCACCUGUUGUAUGCCUGGCUCUGUAAUAGCCAAAUACUGCAUGGAUUCCUAAUGACAUACCCCUUCUUAAUUGGGUCCCUGAGGACCAAUAACUUACAGAUUCACUACUGAGAAAUGUGCUACUUUGCUCCUUCCUGAGGAGUGUGGAGGAGGGGACGACAGCUGAGAGGUUAGGGAUUGGAGCCAGAUUGUGCAGCUUGAUGCUUUGAGGAGUGAGAUGCAGAUCUGAGUCACUGUGGAAAACUAAAGAGGAAAGCGAUGAGGCAGCAACCUGAGAGACAGCGUCGAGGAUGGAGCCAGAUGAGUCCUGCUCGCUCAGCACGGAGCUGGGGGAGAAUAAUUGACACACUCUCUUGAGGGAAUUCAGUAGUGAAUGUCCUCUGAAACCUGGGUAAUCAUUGACCCGGCAGUUAAAGUGAAUAAUAUAACCAAUAAUGUAACCAUUCACUUGAUAGCAGAAAUCUAGGUCCAGUGUUUUAUCAUUAUAAAUGUUAUGAGGGAUAUUCUUAUAUAUCAAUCUUUAAGUAGAUUUUAAUUUUCCUAGCAUUCAUUUCUGAAACAAUAAUUACUGGAUCAAAUGAUAUGAAAAAUUAUAAGGCUACUGAUGCCAUUUUUUCUUCAUAUGAGAUGGUAUAUUCCAAUUUAUACUCUUGCUAGCAAAACAGAGAACACACUCUUUACCAAACAAUGAUUACAACCUUUUUUAAGACUUUCAACUCCAAUAAAGAUGUUAAAAAAAAAAGUUGAAAAAAAAAAGACUUUCAACCAUGUGAUUAGUGAUAUCUUAUUACUCAUUUCUUUGAAUAAACCACUUUUGAUACAGAGUAGUAUCAAAAAGUCUAAAAAACAAGGUAAGAGGCAAGACUACUCUGGACUGAACUAGUAUGUUUUGCAAAGUGUCUCUCCAUCUCAAUUUCACACACAAACUAGAAGAUGGGCUGUACCUGGUGACUGUAUUAGACUGUGUGAUAGGAUUAUAGAUUUUAAGUCCUGAGCCACCCUCUUCCCCCACCCUCCAUUCCUCAAAUGCACAGAAAAUAUCUAAUCCAUUUGUAACACAUUCAGUUGACUGUAUUAUAGGUACGACUUUAUGAAACAGAGUUGAUCACAAUCUAGAUUCGACUCCUACUUCUCAGGAAUAACAUUAUUAUGAUCAUUGUGAUUUUUGUUGAGUUUCAAUGAUAACCACAGGCUUUUAAAGUAAUUUAAAUCAGUCUCAAUUAAAACAUAAACAAUUUUGAGAUUAUUGUGAUAUUUUCACAGCAUUUAAAAUUGUAGCCCAUACUGCUUGAAACUGUUCUCUGGUAUGUUCUUAAUUUGCCCUCAAGAUCCUCUUUGUGGUCACUCUUGACCUGAAUAUAUAUCCUGCCUUCUUUGGUUGUAUGGUGGUCUCCAAAUGAAAAGUUCAUACACUUGAUGCUAAGUACGGUUAUCUUUAAAAAGGCUAGUAUGUGAAAUAUCUCUAUCCAAAAGCAGAGGAUAAGUUUGAUUCCUCUAGGCCAGCUCUUGAAAGGCUCUUGAAUCAGAUCAGCACAAAGCUUGAUUCCACCUUUGGUGGAGAUGGAUGCAGCAGGACAUCAGGACCUGAUGCUGCUCUACGUUUGUAUCACAUAGUGUUACAGACAAUGUUCGUGUCCCUGCAAAAUCCAUAUGUUGAAAUCCUAAUCCCCAAUGUGAUGGUACUAAGAAGUGGGGACUCUGAGAAGUAAUUAGGUCAUGAAAGUGGAGCCCUAAUGAAUAGGGUUAGUGCCCCUUAUAAGAAGAAACAGGAGAGUUUGCUCUCUCUGUUCUCCAGUAUGUGAGGAUAUAAGGAGAGGAUGGCCAUCUGCAAACAGGAAGUGUCACCACCAGACACUGGAUCUGCUGGCACCUUUUUCGGGGACUUCCCAGCUCCAUAACUGAGAGAAAUAAAUGUUUGCUGUUUAAGCCCAGUCUAUAGUAUUUUUGUGAUUGCAGCCCCAACUGACGAAGGCUUGUAGUGAAUUCCUUUUUUUUUUUUUACAUCUUUAUUGGAAUAAAAUUGCUUUACAAUGGUGUGUUAGUUUCUGCUUUAUAACAAAGUGAAUCAG